rnacentral:rRNA from 1 species
AUCCAACCUACCGGUUAUUCCGGGAUAGCCUUUCGAAAGAAAGAUUAAUACCGGAUAGUAUAACGAGAAGGCAUCUUUUUGUUAUUAAAGAAUUUCGAUAACCGACGGGGAUGCGUUCCAUUAGUUUGUUGGCGGGGUAACGGCCCACCAAGACAUCGAUGGAUAGGGGUUCUGAGAGGAAGGUCCCCCACAUUGGAACUGAGACACGGUCCAAACUCCUACGGGAGGCAGCAGUGAGGAAUAUUGGUCAAUGGACGAGAGUCUGAACCAGCCAAGUAGCGUGAAGGAUGACUGCCCUAUGGGUUGUAAACUUCUUUUAUAUGGGAAUAAAGUGAGCCACGUGUGGCUUUUUGUAUGUACCAUACGAAUAAGGAUCGGCUAACUCCGUGCCAGCAGCCGCGGUAAUACGGAGGAUCCGAGCGUUAUCCGGAUUUAUUGGGUUUAAAGGGAGCGUAGGCGGACUAUUAAGUCAGCUGUGAAAGUUUGCGGCUCAACCGUAAAAUUGCAGUUGAUACUGGUCGUCUUGAGUGCAGUA